rnacentral:rRNA from 1 species
AGCGAACGGGUGAGUAACGCGUGGGGAAUCUGCCUUUGAGCGGGGGACAACAUUUGGAAACGAAUGCUAAUACCGCAUAAAAACUUUAAACACAAGUUUUAAGUUUGAAAGAUGCAAUUGCAUCACUCAAAGAUGAUCCCGCGUUGUAUUAGCUAGUUGGUGAGGUAAAGGCUCACCAAGGCGAUGAUACAUAGCCGACCUGAGAGGGUGAUCGGCCACAUUGGGACUGAGACACGGCCCAAACUCCUACGGGAGGCAGCAGUAGGGAAUCUUCGGCAAUGGACGAAAGUCUGACCGAGCAACGCCGCGUGAGUGAAGAAGGUUUUCGGAUCGUAAAACUCUGUUGGUAGAGAAGAACGUUGGUGAGAGUGGAAAGCUCAUCAAGUGACGGUAACUACCCAGAAAGGGACGGCUAACUACGUGCCAGCAGCCGCGGUAAUACGUAGGUCCCGAGCGUUGUCCGGAUUUAUUGGGCGUAAAGCGAGCGCAGGUGGUUUAUUAAGUCUGGUGUAAAAGGCAGUGGCUCAACCAUUGUAUGCAUUGGACACUGGUAGACUUGAGUGCAGGAGAGGAGAGUGUAAUUCUAUGUGUAGCGGUGAAAUGCAUAUAUAUAUGGAGGAACACCGGUGGCGAAAGCGGCUCUCUGGCCUGUAACUGACACUGAGGCUCGAAAGCGUGGGGGAGCAAACAGGAUUAGAUACCCUGGUA